CUGGUUGCUUCUCUUCUGAUCCAGCACUCUGCUAUGGCCUGGGAAAGCAGUAGAAGAUGGCCCAAGUCCUUGGGCCCCUGCACCUGCGUGGGAGACCCAGAAAAAGCUCCUGGCUCCUGGCUUUGUAUCGGCGCAGCUCUGACCAUUGCGGCCAAUUGCUGCCAACUCUCAGGAAACACAGGGCUCAGAGGAACACGCUGCACCGCACUGUGAGUGUGCAGUCCAGCAAACCCAGACUGCGGGAACCGCUCCCUGUGAAAUGCUGCUUGUUGGAGUGGGCUGGGGAGCAAACCUGCAAAUCUGGUGAGACGUCUACGACAAAACAAACGUCUUUGAGCUGCAGGACUGAACCGCAGCGAUAGGGAAAGCACAGCUUGGUGACGGGGCUACAAAGAGGAUCGAUUGUCAAUCUGGCAACCAGUGCUGAGGCUAAAUUAUCUUCUUGAAAAUCUUAAAUGAUGAGAGGAAGGCCUCUGGGAUACGGAUUCUUGGCAUCGGUUACGUGACGAAAUCUCUAGAUCUGAAAAAUUGAGCAAGAGACGUAUUUGAACCACAACUAUUUAUUCUUGCAAAAUCAGCACGGACUUUUGGACCAUUUUGGCUGGAAGGAGACAGCAAGACCAUGUAGCCCAACACGUGAACAGAGGGGAGAGGUGGGAGCCCAGAGUUUCACUGUCAAAGUUACCUCCAGGUCUAACUUCUGGUGCCCUCGCUCUGAAAGGGGAGAACAGAGGGGAUAAAGCCGAAAGGGAGAUGGGAAGCUGUGCUGAACGUGGAGAGGGGCUGUUAAGCUGAAAGGGAAGCGAGACUGUCUGGGUUUGGGGUUGCUUGUCACUUCUCUCUCCGGGUGGCCGUUCCCCGGACCAUGCAGCCUUCCUGCUCAGGUUCCAGGCUUCUCUGUGCUGAGUCCCCUCCUCCAGGCCACCUAGGUCCCUUCCUUCGGUCCCUCAAACACAGCCAGCACAAGACAGCUGCAAGCAAUCAACUGUUCGGGAGUCUUGAAGUGAGAGGAUCUUCGUGCAGGAGAGAAAAGCAGGAGAGCUUCACCACCAGAGCCUCCCGGCGCCCCCCAGAGACCUCAACAUGAACAGCCACAGGGGGCUCCUACUGACAGGCUCAGCCCUUGGCUCUGCUCUGCUGACAUCCUGUGUUUGUCCUUACCUUUCUGGAACCGGAACCGGAAGUCCCCACUUAUCCAAGCCAACGACUUCCACUACCACCCUUCCUCCCUAUUCCAGUAAGAAACAGCUCCCCUAGAAUGAUCUGUGAGAAGGAUGCUACCUGAGUCCAGGAAAGCAGACUUUCACAUUCUAGAUAGUCUGCAGAUAGAGGAUCCCCGCUUUAGCGCGGUUCAACCACAAUUUUUCCACUUCGCAGUGGUGUGAAAAUGCGACACGUUCAGUCGAAACCAUACUUCAAUGUUUGAGAUCUGAUCUUUUCUCGGGCUGGUGCUGUGCCGUCCACUCCUCUAAGGGCCCAGUUCCAGUCUCAUGGACACCAGGGAAACAAGUGACACUGCCAGAGCCCAAUUUCUACACUUUUACCAGAUCACAGCUCAACAUUUGAACAUUACGUUAAAUCCAAUGGAACAGUAUUUGAUGGGCUAAGAAGAUAUGUCAGCCUCUGGGCCCCUCCUUGAAUAUUUUCAUUCUUAUAGUUGUGUUUCCUAGUUUUUGUAUUCAUUUGCUCAUUGUCAGUCAAUAGUCUGGCCAUUAGCCCUAUAAGACAACUACCCACCUGUCUGCCCAGCCCCCACACCAGCCCAGGUGCUCCCUUUCUGCACUUAGCCCAUUCCUCCUCUCAUUACCCCUUUUGUGACUGUUUCUUCCAAGUCCCCACUGAGAAUUAAAAUUUCUCAUCCUUUAGGGCUCCAGUGGGUUUCUUCAGGACCAGCAAGUGGACACGUGCUCCAGUGGCAGGGUCUCUGAUCAGGC